GCGCAAUCCUGACGGAGCAACGCCGCGUGAGGGAGGAAGGCCUGUGGGUUGUAAACCUCUUUUCUCUGGGAAGAAGAUCUGACGGUACCUGAGGAAUCAGCAUCGGCUAACUCCGUGCCAGCAGCCGCGGUAAUACGGAGGAUGCAAGCGUUAUCCGGAAUUAUUGGGCGUAAAGCGUCCGCAGGCGGCUUAUCAAGUCUGCUGUUAAAGGCCGCAGCUCAACUGCGGAUCGGCAGUGGAAACUGAUGAGCUAGAGWGCGGUAGGGGUAGAGGGAAUUCCCAGUGUAGCGGUGAAAUGCGUAGAUAUUGGGAAGAACACCAGUGGCGAAGGCGCUCUACUGGGCCGUAACUGACGCUGAGGGACGAAAGCUAGGGGAGCGAAAGGGAUUAGAUACCCC
rnacentral:rRNA from 1 species